rnacentral:rRNA from 1 species
UACGGAGGGUGCAAGCGUUGUUCGGAAUUACUGGGCGUAAAGGGCGCGUAGGUGGCCUUCUAAGUUGAACGUGAAAUCCCUGGGCUCAACCCAGGAACUGCGUCCAAGACUGGGAGGCUUGAAUCCGGGAGAGGGAUGCGGAAUUCCAGGUGUAGCGGUGAAAUGCGUAGAUAUCUGGAGGAACACCGGUGGCGAAGGCGGCAUCCUGGACCGGUAUUGACACUGAGGCGCGAAAGCCAGGGGAGCAAACGGG